AUUAACGUAGUCAUUCUUUUGCCAUUUUAUGUUCAGAAUACGGGAAAACAUGAAAAACACCCAAACUGUCCCUGGCUGCCUGACACUUCCCUAUACGUCGCAGAUGACACUUCAGCUACUUGUCCUGGGAGCCUGUCUUUCCGUUGUGUCGCCAUUCGUCUGCCUUCAGAACUACUGCCAAACUGUAAACUGCACAACAGUUACCGAGUUACCUUGCGCCCAGAAUGCCAUCUUAGUGCCAAAUUCAUCAUUCUGUGGUUGUUGCGCCAAAUGCAUCACGCAGCUAAACGAGGGAGACGAAUGUGCUGUGCUUUUACUCCUUGGAGGACCUCCUCCUACCGUGCAGUGCAGAGAUCCGCUUUCCUGUAUCAAUGGUACGUGCCAAAUGUGAUCUAGGAUGCCAUCUUGUAAAAUCAAGCUUAUUCUGAUCUUCAAAGUCCAGUUUCAAGUUAAAACAGGCCUUGCGUGCAAGUGGUGUUGUAGUUGAAUUAUGUAAAAACAGCACUCUCCACAAAUGAAGUAGCCAAUAUUGUAAAAUAAAAACAUUAUGAAUCAAUAAAUACGAAAAUUACUAUUAAUUAUGAUACAUUAAA